CAGACACCACUUCCUCUAGCUCCCUGCUCUUAAUCUCUGUCUGGACUGUAUGGGGACCCUGAGCGCACCUCCCUGACGUUGACAAAGCGCUAUGGGUGUAUUUGGCAACUGUCCUCCCCCCACCUCCCCUCGCAGCUACCUGCUCAACACUUCAUCAAAACCACAGGCACCAAAAUGGCGAGGGAUCCAUCAACUCCCCACGCUGAAAGAUGAUGUCAUCAACGAGGAUCGUCUCCCGGGGACUGUUGCUGAUGGCCGACAUGGAUCAGAACCUCAGAGAGUGUGUAGCCGACAGCACUGCAGUGGGAAACAAGAAUGACACUGCAUCCACUACGCCAGGGGUCCCAAACUCAAAUCAGAUGGAGUGAUGUCCUGACCAGCCCUCGACCCCCCCUCCCCUUAGCUGCUCCAGCUUGUUUCAUUUGGAUGGAAUGCACUCAGCAGAGAUUGGGACAUUUUUUAAAUAAAGACAUUUGAGGUAAUAUUGGUACAGUUGAUGACUCCUUUGUCCUGUAUUUGUGUCCCUGCAUAGCCUGUACCUGCGUACUGUAUGUUUUUUCACUUUCCCCUUUGGAUGAGAACAAUUUGGAUUCCGCCUCUCAAUUAUUCAGCCCCUUAAUUGAUAUGAUUAGAGGAUUACAGUGUAACGCUGCUCCCUUGUCACUCCUGGGCUGCAACCAGCGAGGUGACAGUGUCGAGGCGGGAUCCACACGCCGCCUCUUGGUUUGACACCAACAUCCAGAAGGACAACAAAGAUAAAGGCGGCUGGAGGGAAAGCCCUCGUUCUGACAAGAGCAAAUUAACCUGCUGUGCCCGACAGAGAACUGCUGCCCCUCCCUUUGCCCGAUUCAUACGCCAGCCCUCCUUGUGAAUGCUCCUUAUUUUUCUUUCUAUUUUGAAUCCUUACAACUAAAGAGCUGGCAUCCUGCCAUGCACUCUAAGUGUUCAUCUGAAACAGCUCAUACCACUGUUCUGCUCCUCAUACUUAUCGUAUCCUAGAGCCAAAUUGAAAAUAAUGGCAUCUUUAACAGGGCUUCAAUGUCCAUUAUACCCCUGCAGCAACCACAGUGUGAAUUAAAUCCUUACAUGUGUAUAUAUUCAUAUCUAUAUAUUCGGGUUGUCAAUGUCAAAAUUAACUAGUUAAUCAUGAAUUUUCAUUAAUUGUGAUUAAUCGCAAAUAAAAGGUUUGUUUUUCCCAACGACUAAAUCUAAGUAAUGAGUGUCACUUUAGUGUCUGCAGCAUGCGGCCGUUUUAUGGGGUCAGGGGUCAACGCACACUAGAAGUAAACAAAGUUGAGUUAACUGCAUUAAAAUAUUUUAGCACGUUAAAAUCAUCCACAAUAAUCGCAUAGAUUAACGCGUUAACUUUGACAGCCCAAAUAUAUCUAUGAACAAAAGUGUGUGUAUGUCAACUUGAGGAACCCCUGGUGAGAGGUUAUGUAGAGGAGCUGGCUGGCAGGGGCCACAUUCUGGUCUAUGAAGGAUACAGGGGUUGCGUGUGUGUGUGUGUGUUUUGUCUGUUUGCCGAUGUGCACAGUGAGGGCCCACAAUCUCCUGUCUAAUUAAAUGCAGCCCAUUGGUAAAUAGAAAUGCUUGUUGGUCUGUAUGUUAACAUGUUAAGAGACCUCCCUUAACAUCCUGUCUCGGCCACCAGAGGCCCUUUACCCGUCGUGCUGAAGCCACAGGUAGAACCAAUCCCUCAGCGUGACCUCUGCUGUCCAUACAGGGUCAACCUGAGUGAUGUGUGGCGCAUUUGUCUCUCCCUCGCUCUGCCUCCUCAACGUCGGCCCUCCCUUUGUUGUCAUUUUCUAUAGUUAAAGUGCUCAGUCAGCUCCUACUAAUCACCACGUUACACAUCAGCAGCAUGCAGACCAACAUGCGUAGUGUUGUGAGUGGACUGGUGUACACACGCACUUUGAUUACAGGUUGUUGAAAAAUUACAACUAGGCUCUGUGUAACUACAAGGUGUGUGUGUGUGUCAGUUGGUUACUGUUGACAAAUGGGUGUCGAGUUUGUACAAAUACACCACUCGCAAUCGACCGCUUGUUGACUGAUCAAUCGCGCUGUCGAUCCAGAUGCAGUAACACUUGCUUCCAUUGUUGUUACGGUUCACAGAUGGUAGAGGUUACUGCAGAAAUAAUAACUAUACGAAUAAGGUACAAUUUGCAUUUAUAUAGAAUAAACAUAACCUUGGAUCUCCGCGGUGAUUGGUUACUGUGCGGUGCUUUAUCCCUCGCAGCGGGUCACAGUUCACAAGCUGUGUUUGAACUUCACCCUCUAUCCUGUACCCGUCUGUCUCCGCCUUCAGUAAUCCCAUCAGGCCGCUCUCAAACGCUUCGCUGGCGUCCCCCCGCGUCUCACUCUUUCUCUGCCGUUUUAGAUUUUUGGAUCUUCUUUGUUGAGUUUGUUCUGGUGGGAACAGCUCACCACUCCCAACGUAACGCCGUGUUAUUAAUUCAUUAAACCUUAUUUUAUAGAAUUCACACUAGUUAUUGACGUUGUCUAUUUAAUAGACCAUGCAUUCAUAUAUUAAUGUGAAAUAUAUGCUAUUUCAGCUGCAGAGCAGUGACAAAGAGUUGGAUGUAUAUCAAUUAAUUAAACCUGAUCAAUUUAAUAGAGAAUGAAUGAAACGAUUAUACAACGUCGAGAUGGUUAUCAUGAUGGAGACAGACCUAUGAGGAUAUAAUGAACCACUGGAAAGGUUUUAGAUGUUGGUUAUACCUACCUGACGUCCACUGCUACCAACAUUAUUCGGAAAAGUCAAAUCACUCUUACAGACACCAUCACCGUUACGAUGGUUCUCCUACAAUCAGAACUACUUCUGUUUUUUAUUAUUUGGAGUUUUCCUUUUUUCUAUUUCUACCGGUUUACUAGUCUCAAUAUAUGAACCCUUUCUGUCAGUCAUUGAAUGAACUCCCUUAUGUUCCGUCCAUUGCACUCUUCUCCACUAAGGGUUCUUCUGAAUUUCAUCCAUAUUAAAGGUUUUCUUUGUGAGUUUUUCAUGUUGCAAAUGCGUUCUUCUUACAGAUUGUAAAUCAUUCUGAGGCAAAUCUGUGAUUUUUGCCCUUCACAAAAUGGACUGUACUUGUGUUUCUUUUUUCUUGUCUUCUGUCCAUUCAAAGCUUUUUGACACGACGUGUCAUCAUUCAGCCGUUCACGCGCAUUCGUAUACUGCUGACGGGAGCGAACGUGCACGUGUACGUGUUUUGGUGUCUUGCCCGCGGACACGUUGGGACGGACACAAGCAGAGUCAGGGAUUGAACCCUCGAUCUGUUGGUUGAAUGAGAACCUCCCCACUGAGUCGCUGCACAUGCGUAUUGUGUUGUAGCCAGUGAGGAAAAGCCACUGUGGGUUCAGGCGGGCUGUGGUACCUCCUACUUCCUGCUCCUGUACAUUUUUCCCAGCGGAGCACGAAGCUAACGAGGAAAACGAGACGCCGAAUCGCUAGCCGAGCAUCAUAAAUGCCCCAUUUUGGCUGCUGAGUGGCUGAGGAAGCUUUGGCUGCAUUCAGUUGGAUCCAAUAGUGGUUGAAACCAGAGCCGGACUUGGACAAAGAUCCAGAUUCCACUGUUGUUUGUCUGCACAGUGAUUUUCAGGACUCUAUCAACAUAAAACUUUCCAUUUGUGCGGUCCGCUCCCCGUAGAUGUGUUUCCAGCCUCCAUUUCUCCCUUAUAGGGCUGUGAUUUUAUUUAAGACGAUUCACAACAUUUGAAGGGUCUUUUAUUAUAUUGAUUUAUUUCUUCACCAGUAACAUAAACACUUUGCCACAUCACUCACCUUUAUACUGACAAGAUAGACAAAGUAGUGUAGUGUUUUUUGUGUGUGUUCUCAUGCCAUUUUCGGAGUAGAGGCCAAAAAGCAGCCUCAGAGUGGAAAAGGAAAUGAUGUCAUUGCUUGUGAGAGGAGGGAAUCUCAAUCCCUCCAUUCGGCUUCAGCAAAAGGAGAAAACCCGACAGCCUCACUCGCACUCAAGGAGAACGGUUACAGUAGUUUCAAGCUUUCAACCAGUUCUUGUUGCAUUUUAGCGUAGAGGUUUAUUUUAGUUCAUUUUGAGACCUCAAGCACUAUUUUUCACUGCUCAUUUAAUGUAAGUUUCAACUUUAGUGUGUAAUAAUCAGGAACCAGUCUGUCAACAAAUGGAGUGUAACACGUAGCACGCUGGAUUGUACGUGAUUCAGCCGUGCUCAGCAUGCCCGUCCAUCUCUCUGUGUGUGUACAGGCGAUUACAACAACACAGACACACAAAUGUCGGCUGGCUUUGGCCCAAAAGCAGUUCAGAGUGAGUCCCACUGAACACGGGACAAAUUAUUAAUCAUGAUUGCAAACACAUACAUCUAACAGGCCGUGUUCGUUUACUGUUUACUGGUGGUCGGCAAACCUGGUGAAGAUCCACCACCACAACAACUGGGCUGGACUUUUACGAAUUGGGCAUUGGGGGACAAAUGGGCUCAGUCAUGAAAUAAAGACUUUCUAACUCAGACCCGCUGCCUCACAGAGGUCCACGUGAAGGAAUUUCAAUCUUCAACCAUGUAAAACUCAUCGCAAUUUUCGUUUGAAGUUCCACGGUUUAAUACCAUGUGACACGCAGACGUCAUCCACGAGAUAGUGAUCGACACGGGGGUCGUACUCCUCCUCAAACCGCCACUCUAGGCUCCUCGCCACAGAGCAGGUUGACGGCGUUUUCAGGUGUUCAUCUGAGUUCAUUCUGUAACACUCACUCUUUCAUUCAUAUUUAUUUUCCCUUACUCUAUACUCUUUAUUUAUUCCCCCCUCCCACUUGCUCUCCCUUCGUAGUGACUGAACCACAGCCUACUAUUGCUGAGUCCAGCUGCCUGCUUAUUUGACCGACAUCUUUACUUGAAUGACGGCCGUGAGUUACAUCGAUAUGUAUGUGAGAUAAUCUGCGUGUCCUCAUCAUACAUCCAUCCCGAACAUUGACAGCCAGCAAUGCCAUGACAGCAUGAUUGUGAUGCGCUCUGGACAGACUUAGUUAAGAGGGUGUUGCCGAUAUCUAUUUGCCUUUUCUUGGCUCUUUUUUAAUCUUUGCCUCCGUCUCAUUUGAUCUAGAAACACAAGCUAGAUACUCAUGAUUAUUUUACCGUUUUGACUCUCUCUCUCUAAGUCGUCCCGACAGAACAACAGCAAAGGUUCUAAGCGUCAGAGCGGUGGAAUAAAACGUCGAAGAGAGCAAAAAACACCUGAGAGAUGAAGCGAUAGAGAGGCAGAGAGUGAGUGACGGUCAGAGAAAGGGAACCAGAGCGGGAGACGGAAACAGGCAGAUAGACGUUACCAGGGUGCAUGCUGGGACUGGUUUUAUGCCCGGACAGAGGCGGGCAGCUCGGAGGAGAAUAAAAACAUCUGUCUCAGCCCAUCGGCAUCUGGUGGACAUUGCAAAAAAGCUGCAAGACCACGAGGGACACGUCUGUCCAGGGGAGGCCUCUUGUCCUCAAUGGUAAGAACAUGUUUUUGCACACUCCCAGCACGGUGGGAGAGACGUCUUUUUAAGAAUGCCCCGUGCGGUGAGUUGAAAACUUCCACCAAACCAAUUCAGAAAAACAUGUUUACAGCGGUGUCCAGCAGCACGGUCUAAUUAGACCCCAUAUCUCGUCUCGUAGACUGAAUAUGGGUAGCGGAAUUCCGGUCGCACGUUUUCGGUGCUGAUAAAUGCCUGGCGUUGAUGAAAAUGAGCUCAUUCUAAUGAUUGCUAAUAGGAUAUUCCACUUUUUGCAUGUUCUUUGAGUUACAUAAUGGAAGCUAACACGUGACCGGGCGUUGCUUUUGAUGGCAUUGAAAGUUUGGUUGCUUUGCACAUGAAAGCCUCUUUGAACGGGUCCAGCUAGUCACGGACGGUGUCACCACACCACUCGGAGCCAAAGAUAAAAAAACACCAUCAUUACUCAUUCUUCCUGUUGGAUUAAUCAGUUGCAUUACUUCAUGGACGUUGACCGUUGACAUUUUCUCUGCAACAUCCUUUAAGAUGCUGUUUUUAUGAGCACACUUCUCACAAUAGAUUCCACAACUUUAAAUCCAGCGAUCGCCGUCCGUCUGCCAAUUCUGCAUGUGAUAUUAUCCUGCUUUGACCUGUCCAUCAGCAUGACCAGGAUGUUUUCAUAAGUAGUAGCACCAUGUAUAACAAUGACCCAAUUCCCUUUAGCAACCUUAAUGAUUGCUACUGGAAAUUGGGUUCAUUUUGGAGGCCACUUUUUUCUUUCUUGAGGUAUUUCACAUUCAAUCAGGUUAAUCAACACGUUUCCUUUAGAGGAGCUCUACUUUACUAAAAUUAGCACAUUGUUUUGCAUCUAAUUACUACACUCUUUCCACCGGUGAAGCAUUUCCUUCCAAGCGCGGCUCUUGGCUGCAGUAGUAAAGAAAUGUGUGCAUGCGGAGAGUGCUAAAACCCGAGCGUGGUGGUGGAGGCCAUUGGAAAAGGGAUAAGUGAUUCAGCAGGCGGAUCAAUAGAGAAAGAUCCAUGCCUCCCAGCCAGCUCAAUCAGACCCCCUGGGGGGCGAGAGAAACAUUAGGAGACGGAAAGAUGGACAGAGUGUUUCUGUGUGUGUGUGUGUGUGUGUGUGUGUGUGAGAGAGACGAGGAAGGAGAGAAUGCUUUCAUUUAAGACCUGAUUAGACCAGCAGCGAAAGAGAAAGAGAGAAAAUGUGAAUCUUUUGUCUUGGUGCUUUGGCAUUUCAUUCUCAACUGCCAUGCCAAUAAACCACAAUGUGCCAAAAUGAAUUAUAAUAAAUUGAACUGAACUGAAAGGAAUUGGGAGAUGGAGACUACGUGCAAUGGGAACUGCUCUCCUUUUUUUUCCAGACUUUUAUUCUCAAUUGCCUUUUCAGAGCUAUUUAGAGACAUAAACGCAUACCCGGUGUUUGACUCAUCGGAGCAAUGACGCCGUGUCCUUGACAUAGUGCUGAACUUCAACAAGGCCGUCUGUUGGAGCCUGUUAACGGCUAAAUGACUCCAUUUCCUCCACCAAGAUGAUUCACUUUCCGCGGCAGUUCAUCCUCCAACCGCGUGACGCGUGAUUGAUUCAAACGGAAGCCUCAUGACGCGUCGGCGCUAACAUCUCCCGCGUAGAUUUCAGCUUGACCUCUGCUCACACGCGUGAGCCCACCCUGCAGCGCCCCGUUGUCCUUGUACGACCGUCACACCGAUGCCCCCCCCCCCCCAGGACCGUUCGGCAGGCGCCGUGGCCCCUCUCCAUUCCGCCAGCGCUCAUGAUGUGAUGAUUUCCC
ensembl:lncRNA